rnacentral:rRNA from 1 species
UACGUAGGGUGCAAGCGUUGUCCGGAAUUAUUGGGCGUAAAGAGCUCGUAGGCGGUUUGUCGCGUCGAAUGUGAAAACCCGGGGCUCAACUCCGGGCCUGCAUUCGAUACGGGCAGACUAGAGUUCGGUAGGGGAGACUGGGAAUUCCUGGUGUAGCGGUGAAAUGCGCAGAAUAUCAGGAGGAACACCGGUGGCGAAGGCGGGUCUCUGGGCCGAUGACUGACGCUGGAGGAGCGAA